rnacentral:rRNA from 1 species
CCAGCUCCAAUAGCGUAUAUUAAAGUUGUUGCGGUUAAAAAGCUCGUAGUUGGAUUUUUUCGAUUUAAUCAACCGGCUCAUGUCAGUAGAUAAAUCGAAUCUAGCUGCUUGGGGUACUUGUAUCCUAACGUGGCUAAUCUUACUUUGAGGAAAUUAGGGUGUUUCAAGCAGGCAUUUGCUUUGAAUACUUUAGCAUGGAAUAAGAAAAGAAGAUAACCUUCUAGAUUUUCUGGUUCAUCUUUGGGUUAUAAUGAUGAAGAGAAACAGACGGGGACAUUUGUAUUCGACUGUCAGAGGUGGAAUUCUUGGAUUAGUCGAAGACAAACAACUGCGAAAGCAUCUGUCAAGUAUGUUUUCA